CUCAGCUGUGCUUUACUUGUGGCCAGUGGCCCCUAGGAGGAUGAGCUCUGCUCAGGGAGACAAGGGACUACUAUUUGCCAGUUAAUGCCAGCAAGUCAUUUUAUGUCUGGGGACCUCAGUGUCCAUGGAGUGAGGUUAUCUCUAACUUGGAUCUCAUCACAAGCCAUCUCUGAAUCUGCCUGGGGUCUGCUUCUGCCUGGGGCACGGAAAUAUCUCCUGGAAAAUGUAUAAAGGAACAAAGAAGAAGGGUAACCUUGGAAGGGGAAAAAGAGGUAGAAGCUGCCAAGACUGGGGCGUGUGCCCUAAUAAGAACUUUCCACCUUCCGUGCUCACUGCCAGAGCUGCUGCCUUCUCCUGUCCCUUCCCGUCUGUUGCCCUGGGUCCGUGA
rnacentral:lncRNA from 1 species